UACGGAGGGUGCAAACGUUGCUUGGAAUCAUUGGGCGUAAAGCGCACGUAGGCGGGCCAUCAAGUCGGUUGUGAAAUCCCUCGGCUUAACCGAGGACGUGCAUUCGAAACUGAUGGCCUUGAGUACGAAAGAGGAUCGCGGAAUUCCCGGUGUAGAGGUGAAAUUCGUAGAUAUCGGGAGGAACACCAGUGGCGAAGGCGGCGAUCUGGGUCGAUACUGACGCUGAGGUGCGAAAGCGUGGGGAGCAAACAGG
rnacentral:rRNA from 1 species